UACGAAGGGGGCUAGCGUUGCUCGGAAUCACUGGGCGUAAAGGGCUCGUAGGCGGUUCGUCACGUCGGGAGUGAAAACUCGGGGCUUAACCCCGAGCCUGCUUCCGAUACGGGCAGACUAGAGGUAGGCAGGGGAGAGCGGAACUCCUGGUGUAGCGGUGGAAUGCGCAGAUAUCAGGAGAACACCGGUGGCGAAGGCGGGUUCCUGGCUUGG
rnacentral:rRNA from 1 species